AGACUAGCACUUGGAUGUCUUCAGGAAAUGAACACAAGUGGGAAAGUAUCUGUGAUGGAAAAGGGACUUGGCUUACUCUAAGGGUGGAAAUGAAGCAAAUCAGGCCUGGACAGACUGGAGAGGGCUUCAGACACAGAACAAAUCGAGGGCUGCCAAUCACUGUCUGACCCAAAGAAAGAAGCUGUGUAUCUCCAGGGAUAUAUGCUAAAGAACAGAGUGGAUUGGUUCUUCUGGGACCAAGAUGCUUUGACCUCUGAAUAAAGCAGUGAUGAAAAACAGCUUUCAAAGAACUUCUCUCUUUGAAGACAGUAUAUGUGGAGUAUACACGAGAA